AGAUGUGGGUCAGAUUCCCAGAGAUGCCCAACCCUGAUGCCAAAGAAAAUCAGGGAGACCUCACGGGGGCUUAAAGAGACAGGACAGCCUUUCAGAACACAAGUUUUAUGGGGGACGCAAAGACAAAGAUGUUGUCUUAUUCAAUGCCGAAUCCCUGGUGCCUCACCCGGAGCUCUGCACAAGGCAGAGCACCCCUGCCUCUCCCUCGUUCACGAUGGGGCUCGAGGGUCGGCAGAGCGAUGGCAAAGCUGAUGGUGCUGCUCAGAACCAAACAACGGGGGUAGCAGCCAGGAUCUUCCUGGAACCAGUGACCUUCCCUGGCCUGCACAGCAUGGGCCUUUACCCUGCUAGACAGACAGGACUUGGGCUGAGAGCUGAAGAACAAAAUUUGUGCUGACUUUGUAUGGAGCCACAGGACUAACGACAUGAUUCGCAUUUGCAGCAAGAAGCGGUUCUAUGGUGCUCUCCCGACUUGGAAUCACUUAUUGAACACCUGUGCUCCCGCCAGACCACAAGCUCCAGGACGGUGGGCUCUAGCAGCCCAGCUGCUCAGUAAAUGGUGAUUGAAUGACUGAAUCAAUAGAUCAGAGGCAGUAGAAGUUGUCUGGAGUUUCUUGGUUGUUCAUUGCGCAGUUGUCUGUGCAUUUUAUCAAACGUUCCAAACCUCCCAGAUAAGCCCUGAUGUGGAGACUGACCAUCUUUUUUUGUUUCAUUUUGCUUGAUUUCAAAUUGGCUUUGGGAACACCUCGAAAAGUAGGAGAAUGUGGUGAGACGCCAUUAGUCACCAUGGGGAGCGGAGAUGGGGACACGUGCAUGCCGUGACUGUCCCCACACCUCUGGGCUGUAGUCGGCGGCUCUGUCUUUAUGUGCUUGGCAAUUGCCGUGUGGAUGAGAAAUCGCUUUCUGGAAAUCUAGCGUGGUUUUCGCAUUAUGGUUUGGGAGUCCCUUAAAGCGAUUUCUGAUACCCACACCCAUCCCCCACUGCUUUUCCCAGGAAUUGAUUGGACUGGCUUUCUGGGUAUGCAGGGGUCCUCCGGGGCCCAGGCUCAGAGGUCCCUGCAGAGCUAAAGUAAUAUCUGUAGUCUGGGUAAGUGAAAUCAGGCAGGGAUGGGAGAAAGGAGGUUAAAAAGAAAAAAAAAAAAAAGCAAAUGUGUGUCUCUUUCCUGAGUGUUCUCUCUCUAUGUAGAUUUAACUAUACUACAUGUAAAUUCAACCCUAGUUUUAAGUUUCAGUUGAUUUAGAUCACAGCACUGUCACAUAGAAAAGGACUACUAGAAAAUGUGUUUGGAGUUUGGGAUUGAAAAGUGCAGAGAGUGGGGCGC